rnacentral:rRNA from 1 species
CGGCGACCGGCGCACGGGUGAGUAACACGUAUCCAACCUGCCCUUUACUCGGGGAUAGCCUUUCGAAAGAAAGAUUAAUACCCGAUAGCAUAAUGAUUCCGCAUGGUUUCAUUAUUAAAGGAUUCCGGUAAAGGAUGGGGAUGCGUUCCAUUAGGUUGUUGGUGAGGUAACGGCCCACCAAGCCUUCGAUGGAUAGGGGUUCUGAGAGGAAGGUCCCCCACAUUGGAACUGAGACACGGUCCAA